UUCUGGGAGGAUUGACAGUUUGAGAGCUCUUUCGUGAUUCGGUGGACGGUGGUGCACGUCCAUUCUUAGUUGGUGGAGCGAUUUGUCUGGUCAACUCCGAUAACGAACGAGACUCUAGCCUAUUAAAUAAGUGCGUGGUUCUCUGCCCCAUGCACCCUUCUUAGAGGGACAAGCGGCUCCUAGCCGCUCAAAACAGAUCAAUAACAGGCCUGUGAUGCCCUUAGAU
rnacentral:rRNA from 1 species